rnacentral:lncRNA from 1 species
UUGUUUUGCCUUAACAGACUGGGUAGUAAUAUAAUUGCCAUGUCAUGCUGUCGAAACUUUUAUUGAUUUGGUGGGAUAUUGAUUAGUCACUGCUGUGGUGGGUUUUUGUGGACUAGCCUAUUAGAGAGGGGCACGAUAAACCCGAUUAUAUUUUACCUCGGUACGAGAGGCGCGGAGGGUAUCUCUUGAGGAAAAGCUUUAGAGUUCACUACACGCUAAACCACCACGUGAGGGUGAACU